CCAUACCGCGUGUGUGAAGAAGGCCUUCGGGUUGUAAAGCACUUUAAGCAGGGAGAAAAAGUUAUAAGUUAAUACCUUAUAACCCUGAUGUUACCUGCAGAAUAAGCACCGGCUAAUUCCGUGCCAGCAGCCGCGGUAAU
rnacentral:rRNA from 1 species